CAUUGGUCGGGAGCCCUGCAGUAACCAGGGGAACUGCAAACAGUGUAGGGGCAGCUUCCGGUUCGAGCACCCGUAACCGCCGUAACCGCCGUAACCGCCGCCUUUAAGGAUGGACGAGAUCGGUGCAGAUCCGAACAGAAGCCGGCUCGAGGCUGCACAUCGAACCCCCCGUGGACUACUCGGAAGAUUUUGAGUCGACUGAGGAUGCCGAUGCCAAGACCAUGGAUGUUUCUGGGGAUCGUCCACAGAAUGAAAGUGGGUAUCCAGGAGAGUGGCCUGUGGUCCAGGGAACAUGCGUCUGCUUUCCGUGGCGUGUCUGCACUGCCGUGUCUGCUGCUGAUGGAGGGCCAGGCGAGAAGCGGGCCUCACCUUGUUGUUCCACGUGGGGGGUCCCAGGGGGCUGGGAGUAAAUUGCAAAUUUUUGUCUUCCUCAAAAACAAAGAGUCCUUGUCCUUGCCUGUGGAA